rnacentral:rRNA from 1 species
CACGUAGGGCGCAAGCGUUGUCCGGAAUUAUUGGGCGUAAAGAGCUCGUAGGCGGUCUGUUGCGUCCGCUGUGAAAACUCGGGGCUUAACCCCGAGCCUGCAGUGGAUACGGGCAGACUAGAGGUAGGUAGGGGAGAAUGGAAUUCCCGGUGUAGCGGUGAAAUGCGCAGAUAUCAGGAGGAACACCAAUGGCGAAGGCAGAUCUCUGGGCCGUAACUGACGCUGAGGAGCGAAAGCAUGGGGAGCAAACAGG